rnacentral:misc_RNA from 1 species
CGGUACAAUCCACUACUCGGAAAUAAUGGCGUCGUUAGCGUCGUCCGAGAGCAUGAAAACUUCCGAGGAAUCGGAUAAGCCAGUAUGCACGUUUAUUAAGAGACAAGGUUUAAAAAAAGGUAACCAGAGAAAGAGGAGAGGAAGCAGCGAAGAAGCCAGCAGUGAAGAUGAAACGAAAGUUGUCAAGAAGGAGAGGAAAUUGGACCACCUAAACCCAAUGAAACAAGGGACGUUUACAAAGAAGACUACGACAUAUACAGCUGACAGCGACAGUGACGAUGAAACCACCAAGGUUGGGGUGUCCUACAAGUCUCGGCGAACCACCGAGAUGGAAGGACCCAAGGACAUGGGUGCCACAGCUGUCCUUGAAAUUGACACGGAGAAGAGCAAGGAUGCUCAAAGCAUAUUUGAAAAAGCACAGCAAAUUAACAAGGAACUGAAAGGGAAGGCGGAUGACAAGGUUUAUCGGGGAAUGAACAAUUAUGCACAGUACAUAACAAAAAAGGACACGGCACAAGGGAAUGCAUCCAGUGGAAUGGUUAGGAAAGGUCCCAUAAGAGCUCCCGAGCACAUUCGUUCUACUGUCCGAUGGGAUUACCAGCCCGACAUCUGCAAGGACUACAAAGAAACUGGGUUCUGUGGAUUUGGAGACAGCUGCAAGUUUAUGCACGACCGAUCAGACUACAAGCAUGGCUGGCAGCUGGAACUGGAAAUGGAGAGAAAUCAAUAUCGCGAAGAGGACACCAGCCGCUAUGAAAUCAGCUCUGAUGAGGAGGACUUGCCUUUCAGAUGUCUCCUAUGCAGAAAAUCAUUUGUGGACCCUGUUGUUACAAAGUGCAAGCACUACUUUUGUGAAAAGUGUGCCCUGAAACACUACAAAAAAACAACAAGGUGCUAUGUUUGCAGUCAACAGACCAAUGGUGUUUUUAAUCCUGCAAAAGAAAUAAUACAGAGGCUGAAGAAAGCUAAAGAGGAAGGUGGACAAGAAAGUGAGGAGGAAGAGGAACAGCAAAAGGACGACCCACCACCCGCAAAUGAUGACGACGACGACAGUGAUGACUGAGCGACUGCUGCUCAGGUACACUAGCAGAAGAGGUUGGCUAUGUGUACGUGGUUUUCAUGGGGCUGGAGGCAGAAGAACGUCCGGAUACUGGAGCUUUGUUGGCUGGAUGCCAUGGCCAGACCAGGCAUGGUUAUGGUACUGCGCAUGCAAUUUUGUAAGGCUGUUGCACAGCCUGGAUGUGUAUACUUUCACUUUCCAUCACUACGUUGUUGUCCAUGAUGCUUGUAUAUUAUAAAUACAUCACUCUACUGGCAA